rnacentral:rRNA from 1 species
CCUACGUGCGGCAGCAGUGAGGAAUAUUGGUCAAUGGGCGCGAGCCUGAACCAGCCAAGUAGCGUGAAGGAUGACUGCCCUACGGGUUGUAAACUUCUUUUAUAAAGGAGUAAAGUGAGGCACGUGUGCCUUUUUGUAUGUACUUUAUGAAUAAGGAUCGGCUAACUCCGUGCCAGCAGCCGCGGUAAUACGGAGGAUCCGAGCGUUAUCCGGAUUUAUUGGGUUUAAAGGGAGCGUAGAUGGGUUGUUAAGUCAGUUGUGAAAGUUUGCGGCUCAACCGUACAAUUGCAAUUGAUACUGGCAGUCUUGAGUACAGUUGAGGUAGGCGGAAUUCGUGGUGUAGCGGUGAAAUGCUUAGAUAUCACGAAGAACUCCGAUUGCGAAGGCAGCUUACUAAACUGCCACUGACAUUGAUGCUCGAAAGUGUGGGUAUCAAACAGGAUUAGAUACCCGGGUAGUA